rnacentral:rRNA from 1 species
AGAGCUUGCUCUCUGGGUGACGAGCGGCGGACGGGUGAGUAAUGUCUGGGAAACUGCCUGAUGGAGGGGGAUAACUACUGGAAACGGUAGCUAAUACCGCAUAACGUCUUCGGACCAAAGUGGGGGACCUUCGGGCCUCACGCCAUCAGAUGUGCCCAGAUGGGAUUAGCUAGUAGGUGGGGUAAUGGCUCACCUAGGCGACGAUCCCUAGCUGGUCUGAGAGGAUGACCAGCCACACUGGAACUGAGACACGGUCCAGACUCCUACGGGAGGCAGCAGUGGGGAAUAUUGCACAAUGGGCGCAAGCCUGAUGCAGCCAUGCCGCGUGUGUGAAGAAGGCCUUCGGGUUGUAAAGCACUUUCAGCGAGGAGGAAGGGUGGUGUGUUAAUAGCACAUCACAUUGACGUUACUCGCAGAAGAAGCACCGGCUAACUCCGUGCCAGCAGCCGCGGUAAUACGGAGGGUGCAAGCGUUAAUCGGAAUUACUGGGCGUAAAGCGCACGCAGGCGGUUUGUUAAGUCAGAUGUGAAAUCCCCGCGCUUAACGUGGGAACUGCAUUUGAAACUGGCAAGCUAGAGUCUUGUAGAGGGGGGUAGAAUUCCAGGUGUAGCGGUGAAAUGCGUAGAGAUCUGGAGGAAUACCGGUGGCGAAAGCGGCCCCCUGGACAAAGACUGACGCUC